AUGGUGUCCGACGCAGCUGGUUCGGCUGCCGCCUCUCGCAGGGCGGCGGCCGAGGCAAGAGGGAACCCGGUGGGAAUCCGGGACUGCCCCGCAGCGGUGAGUGGGAACGACCGCCGUCGUGCACACUGGGCCGACACGGCGCCUUCGGGCGCCGGCCUGGGAAGUGACGGCCAGUAGGUUCGCGGUGCCCUGACACGGCUCCGCCGAGCGCCCACGAGUCCGAAGACCUGCCAGCCGUGCCGUGCCCGG
rnacentral:ncRNA from 1 species